GGUUGUGGCUCAAGUGGUAGAGCACUUGCCUAGCACACUCGAGGCACUGGGUUUGAUUCUCAGCACCA
rnacentral:tRNA from 1 species